rnacentral:rRNA from 1 species
AGUGAACGCUGGCGGCGUGCUUAACACAUGCAAGUCGAACGGAUGAAGUAAGCUUGCUUAUUUCGUUAGAGGCGCACGGGUGAGUAAUGUAUAGCUAACCUGCCCUUUAGUGGGGGACAACAGUUGGAAACGACUGCUAAUACCCCAUACUCCUUCUUAUCAUAAGGUAAGUCGGGAAAGAUUUAUUGCUAAAGGAUGGGGCUUUAUUUUAUCAGCGUGUUGGUGGGGUAAUGGCCUACCAAGGCGAUGACGCAUACCUGGUCUGAGAGGAUGAUCAGGCACACUGGAACUGAGACACGGUCCAGACUCCUACGGGAGGCAGCAGUGGGGAAUAUUGCACAAUGGGGGAAACCCUGAUGCAGCAACGCCGCGUGGAGGAUGACGCAUUUCGGUGUGUAAACUCCUUUUAUAAGGGAAGAUAAUGACGGUACCUUAUGAAUAAGCACCGGCUAACUCCGUGCCAGCCGCCGCCGUAA